ACUAGAAGUCUCAAUCAUCCACCAUGUCAGCCCUAAAAGGCAAGUUUUGAAGUGCUAGUUCCUCUUCGCUCUUGAAAGAAGGUAUCUGAAGAAUUCUGCGAAGAUACCAGCUUUGGUAGAAAAGUGCACCAAUGUCAAGGAAUCUAUGGAGCUGCAUAGAGGCUCCCUAGAGAGGAAACCCAAAGAAAAGAGGAAAGAAAAUAGGGGAAAGAAGAAUGGGCCAAGGCACGAUGC
rnacentral:lncRNA from 1 species